rnacentral:rRNA from 1 species
UACAGAGGGUGCGAACGUUGCUCGGAAUUACUGGGCGUAAAGCGCACGUAGGCGGCUUCUUAAGUCGGGGGUGAAAUCCUGGAGCUCAACUCCAGAACUGCCUUCGAUACUGGGAAGCUAGAGUCCGGGAGAGGUGAGUGGAACUGCGAGUGUAGAGGUGAAAUUCGUAGAUAUUCGCAAGAACACCAGUGGCGAAGGCGGCUCACUGGCCCGGUACUGACGCUGAGGUGCGAAAGCGUGGGGAGCAAACAGG